CCCGCACAAGCAGCGGAGCGUGUGGUUAAUUCGAUGCAACACGAAAAACCUCACCAAGAUUUGACAUGUCGGAAGUAGUGAACCGAAAGGUUAAUUAACUGUUAAGCCAGUAGCCGUCACAGGUGCUGCAUGGCUGUCGUCAGCUCGUGCCGUGAGGUGUAUGGUUAAGUCCUGCAACGAGCGCAACCCUCGUGGUUAGUUGUUUUCUCUAACCAGACUGCCUCGCAAAACGGGGAGGAAGGUGGGGAUGACGUCAAGUCAGCAUGGCCUUUAUAUCUUGGGCUACACACACGCUACAAUGGGUGGCACAAUAGGUUGCAACAGUGCGAACUGAAGCUAAUCCCCAAAGCCAUCCUCAGUACAGAUUGCAGGCUGAAACCCGCCUGCAUGAAGUCGGAGUUGCUAGUAACCGCAAAUCAGCAUGUUGCGGUGAAUACGUUCUCGGGCCUU
rnacentral:rRNA from 1 species